rnacentral:rRNA from 1 species
CCACGCCGUAAACGAUGUCGACUUGGAGGUUGUGCCCUUGAGGCGUGGCUUCCGGAGCUAACGCGUUAAGUCGACCGCCUGGGGAGUACGGCCGCAAGGUUAAAACUCAAAUGAAUUGACGGGGGCCCGCACAAGCGGUGGAGCAUGUGGUUUAAUUCGAUGCAACGCGAAGAACCUUACCUGGUCUUGACAUCCACGGAAGUUUUCAGAGAUGAGAAUGUGCCUUCGGGAACCGUGAGACAGGUGCUGCAUGGCUGUCGUCAGCUCGUGUUGUGAAAUGUUGGGUUAAGUCCCGCAACGAGCGCAACCCUUAUCCUUUGUUGCCAGCGGUCCGGCCGGGAACUCAAAGGAGACUGCCAGUGAUAAACUGGAGGAAGGUGGGGAUGACGUCAAGUCAUCAUGGCCCUUACGACCAGGGCUACACACGUGCUACAAUGGCGCAUACAAAGAGAAGCGACCUCGCGAGAGCAAGCGGACCUCAUAAAGUGCGUCGUAGUCCGGAUUGGAGUCUGCAACUCGACUCCAUGAAGUCGGAAUCGCUAGUAAUCGUGGAUCAGAAUGCCACGGUGAAUACGUUCCCGGGCCUUGUACACACCGCCCGUCACACCAUGGGAGUGGGUUGCAAAAGAAGUAGGUAGCUUAACCUUCGGGAGGGCGCUUACCACUUUGUGAUUCAUGACUGGGGUGAAGUCGUAACAAGGUAACCGUAGGGGAACCUGCGGUUGGAUCACCUCCUUA